rnacentral:lncRNA from 1 species
AUUUUCUAGUAGAGAUCAGGAAAUAUGUUUAGAAUAUUUGUUUAUUUUUGCAGGAGAUGAAAGUAAGAAUAUUAUGGGAACUGCUCAACACAAUGCUCCUCAGGCAGAGAAACUCUGUCUUAAAGAUAAAGUUUCAAAAUGGCCUAAACAUCAUGGACCAGAGAAUAUUAAGAAUGAGGAUACAAAAGAAACACCAUUAGCAUGGUCCCAAGAAGAUGAGAUGUGGUGUCAUGAUUCCUAUGAGAAUGAUGGCUUGUCACAGUGUUGGGAAAAUUGUAUAAGAAAAGCAGAAAAACCCAACCACCAGGAAUGGGACCCAGAACAACAUAACAGUGUCUCUGUACAUCAGAAUUCAUCCUUGGGAGAGAAACCCUACAAAUGUUUGGAAUGUUGGAAAAGCUUCAGUAAUAGUUCUCAUUUGCGUACUCAUCAGAGGACCCACUCCGGAGAAAAGCCUUAUAAAUGCUCUGAGUGUGAAAAAUGCUUCUGUAAUAGUUCUCACCUGAUCCAGCAUCUGAGAACACACACUGGGGAGAAGCCGUACCAGUGUGGAGAGUGUGGGAAAAGCUUCAGCAACACCUCCCAUCUUAUUAUCCAUGAGAGGACGCACACAGGGGAGAAACCCUACAAAUGUCCCGAGUGUGGGAAGAGUUUCAGCAGCAGCUCUCACCUCAUUCAGCACCACAGAUCACACACAGGUGAGAAGCCAUACGAGUGUCCCAUCUGUGGAAAAGGCUUCAGCCACAGCUAUGUCCUAAUAGAACAUCAGAGGACUCACACUGGAGAAAAGCCCUACAAGUGCCCCGACUGUGGAAAGAGCUUCAGUCAAAGUUCCAGUCUGAUCCGCCACCAGCGGACACACACAGGUGAGAAGCCCUACAAAUGUCCUGAAUGUGGAAAAGGCUUUGGUUGUAAUUCUACUCUAAUUAAGCAUCAGAGAAUCCAUACGGGAGAAAAACCCUAUCCCUGUGCAGAAUGUGGGAAGAAUUUUAGUCGAAGCUCCAACCUUAUAGCACACCAGAAAACGCACACAGGAGAGAAGUCCUGUGGAAAUUCUGAAUAUGAGGAAAGUGUGCAUCAGGACUGCAGUAUGGUAGAGGACUGCAGAGUCCAGCCAGGAGAGAAGCCCUAUAAAUGCUGUGAAUGUGGGAAGAGUUUUGGCCUUAGCUCCCACCUCAUUAGACAUCAGAGAACGCACACGGGGGAGAAGCCUUACAGGUGUUCUGAGUGCUGGAAGACUUUCAGUCAGAGUUCCACCCUGGUGAUCCACCAGAGGACUCACACAGGAGAGAAACCUUAUAAAUGCCCCGACUGUGGAGAGUGCUUCAGUCAAAGCUUUAACCUCAUCAGGCACCGAAGGACCCACAUAGGAGAAAAACCUUACAAAUGUCCCGACUGUGAGAAAUGCUUCAGCAGAAGUGCCUAUCUCAGUCAGCAUCGGAAAAUUCACAUGGAAAAGUCUCUUGAGUCUCCUGAAGUGGGGGGUUUCCUUCAUGAGUGGACGUGGAAAAGCUGUUCAGGGAAAAUGGCCCUCCUCCCUUCAUUUUCAGUCUCAAAUUCAUCUUCUACCUGAGUUCAACAGAUGUUUCAUGCUGUCCCCCCUUCCUCCACUGGACCAUUACAAGGAAGGUAUUUGGUGAUAAUUGUGCUCUAAAGUUUAUUGGUGUGUUUCCCAAAUGCCUGGAAAAAGUCAACCUCUCUGUUUAGAGGGAAAAACUGAGAUCCACUGGCUACCUAAUCUGUCCAGGGAGAGGCCACCAAGGACUGAGGAGGAACUUUUAAAAUGUAAAGUGAGAUAGGAAUGGCUUCAGAUGGAAAUGGAGAGUAAUCCUGGGAGUGAGCCAAAAGACCUGAUGCUAGAAUUGCCAUUGAAUCACCUCAUUUCCUCUUGUCUUAUUGAGUGUAGACAGUGCAUUAUUUUUCUUAAGAGUUUACCCAGAGAAGUUCAUUUUGAACAAAUAAUGCCAUUACCUAGCUGUUUUUGGAGGUCUUAAGAAGAGAUGUACUUUACCAAGUGCAUUUUUAUUUUCUAAAAAUGAACUUGUAUCUAGAACACUGUGUCCAUUACCAUAGCUUUUAGCCAUAUAUGGCUACUUACACUUAUGUUGAUUAAAUGAAAUUUAAAAUCCAAUUCCUUAGUCAACUAGCUCCUUGAAAAGUGCUCAGUAGCCACAUAUGACUAGUGGCUGUUGUAUGGAAUAUCAUCAUAGAAAGUUCUUUAUUUCAAGAUCAUCAUUCUAGAGAGACUCAUAAGUCUUUCCUUUCAGGGUAGGAAUGCACUCUGGGGAUUUGCUCUCCAAUAGGAAUUGAAAUAGAAUAGAAAUGGGAUAGUUUUGAAAGCACUGGGUCAAGAAAGUGGAUAUUCUAGUGACUCUGUGUUCUCAUUUAUGUUCCACCAACUGGGUUAUCUAGUGAUAAAGCAUCAUUGUCUUGACUAAAGCCAGGAUAGGAAGUAGGAUCCUGAAUUAUUCUGUUUUUAAAUUUUAGAUGAAUUUCUCUUCAUGUUAUUCCUAAUUAGAUCAGGAACUGGAUUUUUUUUCUAAUAAUUAACACAUUAAUUCUGAGCCAGUGUCCAAGAAUAGUUUGCCUUUGAACACUGAUAUUCUUUAGCUCCAAGACUGGCUGUUUUCUUGGGCCUCUUGACAUACUUGGUCUGGGGAUCUGAUGAUUGCCAUCAUCGGCUCUAUAGGAAUGAUGCUUUGGGAGAUAUUAGAUAUAUCUUAUUCCCCUCUCCCACUUUUUCCUACUAGUGUGAAAGGUAAAUGUGUAGAAGUUCAGAAUUCCUCUGAACUGCCCAGGAUUGCAUUUUAUUGUGGGAUUCAAAAUAUUAUGAAGAAUAUGUCAAGAUGGUAUAUUAGGAACGUGAAGUUAGACAGGACCGACUGUGGCUGCUGAAAAGGUCUGUAGCUGGCAGGUAAUUGGUUUGUAUGAGGAUUUUUUUAUCUUUCAUGCUUGGGGCAUACGUGUCCUUUAGUAUUGUUAUAUGAUUAAAAAAAGAAAAAAAGCUAAUAAAGGAGUUUUAUAUUUGGGGGUGAUUUUAUGCUUUCAGAAAUUUUUUUUUAUGUGACUCCCGCCUAUGCAUCUUUCCGUCUUUGUAUGUUAUAUAGUAAUGCCCAAGUUAUCUUAAGUUGUAAUAUCUCAGGGCAAGUUUUGAUAGCAUUUUUUUUUUUUGCCACAGAAAGCUGAGAGUUCAAUUAAUGAUUGGUAAUUAAAUUAUGGGUUUAUUAUCAAGGCUGAAAUUUAUUAUCAAGGCAGCAGCUAUGAGGUUAAUCACAUGCUCUAUGGCAAGUGGCCACUAUGAGCCUCAGUUCCUUCAUCUGUAAAAUGAGGAUAAUGCCUCCCUUGCAAGGUUGGUAUAAGAAUUAAACAAAUGUUUACAAAACUUCUGCCAGAGAGCUUAAAAUAAAAUGUGGUUAAUAUAAAUAUUAAUGGUAUUAUUAUUAAUUGAAACAAAUUUAAAAAUGUCAUCCACAUGAAAAAUAAAAGUAGCAAUACAGCUCCAAACUUAUCCUGCUUAGAGAUUCUGUUUGAUCCAUCUCAGGAACCCAAAGGAACAAGGUAUUAGAAAAGCAUGAGAUGAUAUGUGUUUUAAGUUUGUGGGCUGUCAAAAAUACUUUUAUUUACAACACUUGGUAAAAGCAGCUAUAAUAGAGGCAGGAAAUGUUAACUGAAGUUUUUGUUGUUCAUGAAACAAAGGAUUUGGUUUAAAAUACGAAAGAUCAAAACAGCAUGUUUGACAACAGGUAAAUGUGUGUCCUCUCACCAUCACCUGCACUAUGUUUUAUGACUGCCAACAAAUGAAACAUGUUACAAACUUGAGCUCUACAGGAAUAUAGACAUUCACAUUUUAUAUUGGUUAAGAUGAACUCCAUUAUUAAAAUAGUCUGGUGAGAAUCCUUGUAUCUGGAUAGGAAAUAAGGAAAAUCGAAGAGAGAUUUGUCCCUUGUGAUGAAAAAUAUAACAAAUUCAAUCAUAUUUGAUGUUUUUGCCUCAGUUUCACUAAUCAGCUGAUAGGUUCUUUGUUCAGCUCCAUACAAAGUAAAUAUUCUGUAUUCUGUAUUUUUCUUGUUGGAACAAAGGAUUCAGCAGCAUAUGAAUAAAGAAAUAAGAAAUUUCUUAUUCACAAAUUAUUUGUUUUAUAGUAUCUUUUUAAUUAAAUGCUGGGAGCCAUUAGCCAAGUAGGUAUGACAAUUUCCUUGCCAGCGUACCCCAUGUUGCUUAGUGGAAGGACUCCUGGAAAUAGGACAUUUUGCAGUGACAUUGCAGUUAUGUGACCUUGCUCAAGGACCAGGGCGGAUCCGGGAUUAGGGUGUUCCCGGUUUAGGAUAAUCGGGUUUAGGGC